rnacentral:rRNA from 1 species
CCUACGGGAGGCAGCAGUGAGGAAUAUUGGUCAAUGGGCGCGAGCCUGAACCAGCCAAGUCGCGUGAGGGAAGACGGUCCUAUGGAUUGUAAACCUCUUUUGUCGGGGAGCAAAAGACGCCACGCGUGGCGUUCAGAGUGUACCCGCAGACAAAGCAUCGGCCAACUCCGUGCCAGCAGCCGCGGUAAUACGGAGGAUGCGAGCGUUAUCCGGAUUGAUUGGGUUUAAAGGGUGCGCAGGCGGCAGAUCAAGUCAGCGGUAAAAUUGAGAGGCUCAACCUCUUCGAGCCGUUGAAACUGGUUGUCGUGAGUGAGCGAGAAGUAUGCGGAAUGCGUGGUGUAGCGGUGAAAUGCAUAGAUAGCACGCAGAACUCCGAUUGCGAAGGCAGCAUACCGGCGCUCAACUGACGCUCAUGCACGAAAGUGUGGGUAUCGAACAGGAUUAGAUACCCUUGUAGUC